UACGUAGGGAGCAAGCGUUGUCCGGAAUCAUUGGGCGUAAAGCGCGCGUAGGUGGCCACAUAAGUCCGUUGUGAAAGUCAAAGGCUCAACCUUUGAAAGCCGAUGGAUACUGUGUGGCUAGAGUACGGAAGAGGCGAGUGGAAUUCCUGGUGUAGCGGUGGGAUGCGCAGAUAUCAGGAGGAACACCAAUAGCGAAGGCAGCUCGCUGGGACGUUACUGACACUGAGGCGCGAAAGCGUGGGGAGCAAACAGG
rnacentral:rRNA from 1 species